UCCGGUGGGUGACGACCGUUGGUCGUCACAGCUUUUGAUCAGCCUGGGAGCGUGACGACCAACGGUCGUCACCCACCACU
rnacentral:antisense_RNA from 1 species